AGGAUAAACGCUGGCGGCGUGCAUGAGACAUGCAAGUCGAACGGACGAUCAGGGCUUGCUCUGUUCGUUAGUGGCGGACGGCUGAGUAACGCGUAGGUGACCUGCCCCGAAGUGGGGAAUAACUGCCCGAAAGGGUGGCUAAUACCGCAUGUGGUGAUGCCUUCAGUGGCAUCAGUAAAGCCGCAAGGCGCUUCGGGAGGGGCCUGCGUCCGAUUAGCUCGUUGGUGGGGUAACGGCUCACCAAGGCGACGAUCGGUAGGUGGUCUGAGAGGACGAUCACCCAGACUGGGACUGAGACACGGCCCAGACUCCUACGGGAGGCAGCAGUCGGGAAUUUUGCGCAAUGGACGAAAGUCUGACGCAGCAACGCCGCGUGAGGGAUGACGGCCUUCGGGUUGUAAACCUCUUUUGUCAGGGAAGAUGAUGACGGUACCUGACGAAUAAGCACCGGCUAACUACGUGCCAGCAGCCGC
rnacentral:rRNA from 1 species